rnacentral:rRNA from 1 species
GUUGGCGUUCGACUCGGGGGGACUGGUUCCAGUGCCCUCGGACCGCGCCGGCGCAGCGGCGGGCGCCCACGGCGUCGCGCCUGGGCUCGGUGGCGAAACGGCCGGCAACCUGUCCGACCCGUCUUGAAACACGGACCAAGGAGUCUAACAUGUGCGCGAGUCGUUGGGCGCUACGAAACCCGAAGGCGCAAUGAAAGUGAAGGCCCGGUCUCCGGCCGGCCUGGGUGGGAUCCCGGCGGUCUCGGCCGUCGGGCGCACCACCGGCCCGUCUCGUUCGUUACGUCGAGGAGGCGGAGCAAGAGCGUACACGUUGGGACCCGAAAGAUGGUGAACUAUGCCCGAGUAGGACGAAGCCAGAGGAAACUCUGGUGGAGGUCCGCAGCGAUUCUGACGUGCAAAUCGAUCGUCAAACUUGGGUAUAGGGGCGAAAGAUUAAUCGAACCAUAUAGUAGCUGGUUNCUGUCGAAGUUUCCCUCAGGAUAGCUGGCGCUCGUCGUGAGCAGUUUUAUCCGGUAAAGCGAAUGACUGGAGGCCUUGGG